UAGGGAAUCUUCGGCAAUGGGGGGAACCCUGACCGAGCAACGCCGCGUGAGUGAAGAAGGUUUUCGGAUCGUAAAGCUCUGUUGUUAAGGAAGAACGAGUGUGAGAAUGGAAAGUUCAUACUGUGACGGUACUUAACCAGAAAGGGACGGCUAACUACGUGCCAGCAGCCGCGGUAAUACGUAGGUCCCGAGCGUUGUCCGGAUUUAUUGGGCGUAAAGCGAGCGCAGGCGGUUAGAUAAAUCUGAAGUUAAAGGCAGUGGCUCAACCAUUGUAGGCUUUGGAAACUGUUUAACUUGAGUGCAGAAGGGGAGAGUGGAAUUCCAUGUGUAACGGUGAAAUGCGUAGAUAUAUGGAGGAACACCGGUGGCGAAAGCGGCUCUCUGGUCUGUAACUGACGCUGAGGCUCGAAAGCGUGGGGAGCGAACAGG
rnacentral:rRNA from 1 species